rnacentral:rRNA from 1 species
GACGUAGGGGGCCAGCGUUGUUCGGAAUUACUGGGUGUAAAGGGUUCGUAGGCGGUGUAGCAAGUCGGGAGUGAAUCUCUGGGCUUAACCCAGAGGCUGCUUCCGAAACUGCUGUGCUUGAGUGUGGGAGAGGCGCGUGGAAUUGCAGGUGUAGCGGUGAAAUGCGUAGAUAUCGCUUGGAACGCCGAAGGUGAAAACAGGUCGCUGGGGAUGUGCCGACGCUGAGACACGAAAGCCAGGGGAGCAAACGGG